CUCCGAUUAUUGGCACCUCUUGGUUCCCCCUCUCUUCUUUUCCGUGUCUAAAGCUUUAGCUCUUCUGCAUAAAAAUAUUUUGAUUUUGAUAUUUCAAUUCACGAACACGAAGAAGAAACAAGGCCUC
ensembl:ncRNA Y43D4A.162 ncRNA